GUUCAGGCCAACCCCGCUAGCCUCCGUCUCCAGGGCCGGCCGCUCCUCUGCAGCAGCGGGAAGAGGCACCCCGAGCAUGCCCCUGCCUACGCGCAGCUGGGAUUCUUGGCCAUUCCGGACAGGUCUUCACAGGUCCCGGAUCCCUCCGGGAUUAGCGCCCCUCCAGCCCAGGCUGUUUAACCCAAAGCCAUCUGCUGCAGCUCGAGACUUUUGAUCGUUUGCUUUUCUCUUCAUUGGCCGGAGUCACCACUGGAGAGUGAUCCGGACAGGGCGGUGAAGUCCCCAUUUCGGUGCAGAGUCCUUUGCAAGUGACAUUGUGAAGUAGGCAAGCACUAUGCCUUUGAGUGACAUUGUGAAGUUGGCGGAGGGUGCCCUAGGUGACAUUGUGAAGUAGGCAAAAGGUUACAGGAAAGGACUAAAGCCUGAAUGGUACAUGACAAUCUAUAUAUAUAAAAGGCUAAGUAACUGACCAUACGUACAUCCAACCGUCCGACUGACUGACCAGCUGGAUUCAAAGCUUGGCAGAGACCAUGCUUUUAUAAUUCCCUGUGCCCAGUUCCUGAAAUAAGAAGAGAUGCUCCUAAAUGAAUGACCAAGAAUGUUCAUGUCACAACCUCAUCUCCAUGCAGAAAAUCUCCUUGUGCAAG